CGAGAGACAAGAGAUCUCAUCGUCGGUGGUAACGGUCAUUUAGUGUUUGUUUAAAAUUAUAUGAAGGUGCUUAUAAAAAAGGAGGAAAAGGAAUAUAUAGAUAUUGCCACAUGUAUCGUACUAUGUAUUAAGAAACAUACACAAUGUUUGCUCUCGUAUUAUUCAAUGAUGGGAUCUAUCAUAUUUGUAAAUCAGAAAACGUUAAAAAAAAUAAAAAUGAAUGUGUGGCAAAAUAUAAAAAUGUCAAGUAUACUUGUCGGAUCAUAGCACAACAUAAAAAUAUUACUGUACUUAAUGAUAUUAAGCAUUCUUUAACUAACCUGUGUGUACCUAAAAUUAUAUUACAACGUGUUACUUUGCCCAAUGUGCACAAAAAACAAAACUUGCUUCAAAUCCAGAAUC